UACUCUCACCACGCACUCCACCCUCUUUAGCCGGUCAUAAGAGGCGGCGGGGACGACAGGCCAACGCGCGGGAGAUCCCGGUGACCAAGUUGGUGAUCUUCCCCUCCUCUGCCUACUCUUCUUCCGCUUCUCUCCCCGUCGCCGGUAUUUGGGAUCCGUCGAAUCGGUUGGGAUCGGCCGAUUCCUUUUUUACUGGCGGAGAAGAUAGCCGAUCCCGACCCGCACACAGGAAAGCAUCGUCAAAUCCAUUCUAUCUCGAGAUCGUAGCAUCUUCUUGAAGCAUCUUCGUCUACGCCGGCAAAUGGAGCACCCCGGCACUAUCCGGGCUCCACCGGCCACCCCUAGGAAGAACAAGGAGGACCAGCGCGCGAAGAGGAGCGCAGCCACUAGUAGCCCUCCAGCGCCGGCGAGCUCCUCUCGGUGCACUCGCUCGCAGGCCGCCCCCGACUGGACCACCUACGAAUCGCUGGUGCUCGUGGGCGAGAUCGCCGCCAUGGACGAGGACUGGCUCAAGGCUCUCUCCUCCUACCAGAAGUGGAAGAUGAUCUCCGACAACUGCGUUGCCCUGGAAGUCGUUCGAUCCUCUAACCAGUGCAAGCGGCGGUGGGAGUCGCUGCUCGCCGGGUACCGGAGGAUCAGGGAGUGGGAAGCCAGUCACGGGGAGGGCUCCUACUGGGUUUUGGAUGGCGAUAGAAGGCAGCAGCUGGGGCUCCCGACUUGGUUCGACCGGGAGGUCUUUAGCUCCAUGGGCGCGGUUCUUAAGCUGCAGGAGGACUGGGCGGGGCGGGGCGAGGCCGAUCCAGAAUAUGUUGUUGAUGCAGCCGGUGCUUCGGAGGACCUGCUUCUGUCGGCGGAGGCGGAAAUGCUGGAUGUCAAUAAUGCUCAGGGUUCUAAGGAGAACUCAGAGGAUGAGGUUCAGAAGGAUAGAGAAAAGACACGAGACAUGGCAAGUAAGCUGCAGGAGAGUGCUCAGCAAAUUCAUGCCAUACUAAGAGAAGAACUGGAAGAUAAUCUUGGUCUGGAUACUUCUCCAGUGGAUUUGUCAAAGCCCAAUGCUGCAGGGAUAGAGUUUACUAGGCGCCAAGCUGAUCGGCUGAUCAAAGCUUUUGGGGGGCUUGCUGACACUCUGAAUCAAUUCACUGAGCUGAUCAGAUCUUCUGAUUGUGAAAGCAUCAAAGCCAUUGACUCAAUGGCAUUAUGAGACAAUUUUCUCAUAAAGUUUUGCUGCAGCAGGCAAGGCGCCAGCGCAGACUCGCUCUUAUGGUUUUCUUGCUCUCUUAUUAAGAGUGCAGUAUCCAUUCAAAAAUGAACUCCUCAUCAAGUUCACUUUUGUCAUGAGGAUCUACUGGAAGUCUGAUACUAUACUGCAAUGGGAUUUAUCAGCUUAUCGAAGGUGACUUACAGUUAUAUGAAUCUCUUCGACACUUCAGUUUAUCAUUAGAAAAAUGACAUGAAUUUAUGUACUUCAAAAAUCUUAUCCUCAUUUGUUAACUCAUCCAACUCUUUGAAGCUGAUGUCUAAAAUCAUUUACAGAAUAUGGAGACUCUUCUAUACUGUCAAA